CACGUAGGGCGCAAGCGUUGUCCGGAAUUAUUGGGCGUAAAGCGCACGUAGGCGGUUUGUUAAGUCGGAUGUGAAAUCCCUCGGCUCAACUGAGGAAGUGCAUCCGAAACUGGCAGGCUUGAGUACUAAAGAGGGUCGCGGAAUUCCCGGUGUAGAGGUGAAAUUCGUAGAUAUCGGGAGGAACACCGGUGGCGAAGGCGGCGACCUGGGUAGAUACUGACGCUGAGGUGCGAAAGCGUGGGGAGCAAACAGG
rnacentral:rRNA from 1 species